CGGGGCGGCGGGACGGUCGCCGCCUGCAUCGGCAGGGGGAGGAAAGUCCGGGCUUCACAGGGCACGGUGAUGGGUAACACCCACCCUCGGUAACGGUACCGGUAAGUCUCCCGGGCCGGGCCGCCAACGGGAGGGACAGUGCAACAGAAAGCAUACCGCCGGCUGGGCCAGUCGCUGGGCUUUUUCGCCGCGAUACUACCUGGCCGGUAAGGGUGAAAAGGUGCGGGGCGCAAGCCCUUAAUGUAAGAGCGCACCAGCAGCGGGGCGACCCGCUGGCUCGGCAAACCCCACCGGAAGCAAGGUCAAGCAGGGGAGAUGGUUGGCCCGACCGCUCGAUCCCCGGGUAGACCGCUGGACCCUGCGGGCAACUGCAGGGCUAGAGGAAUGACCGUCACCCGCUGCGGCGGGAACAGAACCCGGCUUAUACGCCGCUCCGCUCA
rnacentral:RNase_P_RNA from 1 species